CAGGGAGUCACAGAGGACCUGGAGGAGAGAAUCCUGUGUGUGCUGGAGAUCCCGAACUGUGGCGGAGGCCCCAGGAGGCAGUGAUGGUGUGGACUCAGCUGCCUCUCCGGGAAGCAGCUGCUGACUGGAUACAGAUGUCCAAGGCCAAUGAGGAAGCCAUGUGUCAAAGAUGGCAGGGGGCAGGGCAUGGUGGCUUACACCAGUAAUCCCAGCACUGUGGAAGGCUGAAGCAGCUGGAUCACUUGAACCCAGGAGUUUGAGACCAGCCUGGGCAACA
rnacentral:lncRNA from 1 species